rnacentral:rRNA from 1 species
UACGAAGGGGGCUAGCGUUGCUCGGAAUCACUGGGCUUAAAGCGCGUGUAGGCGGGCGGGUACGUCGGCCACUGAAAGCCCCCGCUCAACCGGGGAAGGGGUGCCGAAACGGCCGGCCUGGAGGGGCGUAGGGGGACCUGGAACUUCCGGUGGAGCGGUGAAAUGCGUUGAGAUCGGAAGGAACGCCCGUGGCGAAAGCGAGGUCCUGGACGCCAGCUGACGCUGAGACGCGAAAGCCAGGGGAGCGAACGGG